rnacentral:rRNA from 1 species
CAAUAGCGUAUAUUUAAGUUGUUGCAGUUAAAAAGCUCGUAGUUGGAUUUCGGUUAAGAGCGACCGGUCCGCCGUUCGGUGUGCACUGGUUGGUUUUAACUUCCUGUAGAGGACGUGCUCUGGGUUUAACGACCUGGACUCGGAGUCUACGUGGUUACUUUGAAAAAAUUAGAGUGUUCAAAGCGGGCUUACGCUUGAAUAUUUCAGCAUGGAAUAACACUAUAGGACUCCUGUCCUAUUUCGUUGGUCUCGGGACGGGAGUAAUGAUUAAGAGGAACAGUUGGGGGCAUUCGUAUUUCAUUGUCAGAGGUGAAAUUCUUGGAUUUAUGAAAGACGAACUUCUGCGAAAGCAUUUGCCAAGGAUGUUUUCAUUAA